GGGUACACGAGUGGCGAACGGGUGAGUAACACGUGGGUGACCUGCCCUGCACUUCGGGAUAAGCCUGGGAAACUGGGUCUAAUACCGGAUAGGACCAUGGUGUGGAUACUGUGGUGGAAAGUUUUUUCGGUGUGGGAUGGGCCCGCGGCCUAUCAGCUUGUUGGUGGGGUAAUGGCCUACCAAGGCGGCGACGGGUAGCCGGCCUGAGAGGGUGGACGGCCACAUUGGGACUGAGACACGGCCCAGACUCCUACGGGAGGCAGCAGUGGGGAAUAUUGCACAAUGGGCGGAAGCCUGAUGCAGCGACGCCGCGUGGGGGAUGACGGCCUUCGGGUUGUAAACUCCUUUCACCAUCGACGAAGGGUUUCUGACGGUAGAUGGAGAAGAAGCACCGGCUAACUACGUGCCAGCAGCCGCGGUAAUACGUAGGGUGCGAGCGUUGUCCGGAAUUACUGGGCGUAAAGAGCUCGUAGGUGGUUUGUCGCGUCGUCUGUGAAAUUCCGGGGCUUAACUCCGGGCGUGCAGGCGAUACGGGCAUAACUUGAGUACUGUAGGGGAGACUGGAAUUCCUGGUGUAGCGGUGAAAUGCGCAGAUAUCAGGAGGAACACCGGUGGCGAAGGCGGGUCUCUGGGCAGUAACUGACGCUGAGGAGCGAAA
rnacentral:rRNA from 1 species